rnacentral:rRNA from 1 species
AUGGGGAGAGAGAAGCACGCAAUGGAUUCUGUGGCGGUCGUGGCGGUGCCGUUCCCGGCGCAGGGCCACCUCAACCAGCUGCUGCACCUGUCGCUGCAGCUCGCGUCGCGCGGCCUGGACGUGCACUACGCCGCGGCCGCGCAGCACAUCCGGCAGGCGCGCACGCGCGUGCACGGCUGGGGCGAGGAGGCGCUCCAGUCGAUCCAGUUCCACGACCUCGGCAUCUCCAGCUACGUCUCACCGCCUCCAGACCCCACCGCCGACUCGCCCUUCCCCUCCCACCUCAUGCCCCUGUUCGAGGCCUACACCGCCAGCGCGCGCGCCCCGCUCGCGGCCCUCCUCGAGGACCUCUCUGGUUCCUGCCGCCGCGUGGUCGUAGUGCACGACCGCAUCAACGCCUUCGCCGCUGAGGAGGCCGCGCGGCUGCCCAACGGCGAGGCGUUCGGGCUGCACUGCGUGGCCGUGUCGAUGCUCGUCGGAAGAAUCGACGCCAACCACCGGCUACUGCGUGAGAACGGCGUCGUCCUCAGCUCCGUCGAGCGCUAUGCGACCAAGGAGUUCAUAGAGUACGCCAACCGGGCCAGACCGGCGAAACAGAUCUCGACUGGCGCGGGCAUCCUGGCAAACUCAUGCCGCGCGCUCGAGGGUGAUUUCAUCGACGUUGUCGCCGGGCACCUGGCCGCCGACGGCAAGAAGCUCUUCGCCAUCGGACCGCUAAACCCACUGCUCGACGCCAGCGCGUCGAAGCAGAGCAAGCAGCGGCACGAGUGCCUGAACUGGCUCGACAAGCAGCCUCCGUCGUCCGUGCUGUACGUGUCCUUCGGCACGUCGUCGUCUCUGCGAGCGGAGCAAAUCGAGGAGCUUGCAGCAGCACUGCGCGGCAGCAGACAGAGGUUCAUAUGGGUGCUGCGCGACGCCGACCGCGGCGACAUAUUCGUGGAGGCCGGCGAGAGCCGCCACGAGAAGUUCCUAUCAGAGUUCACCAAGCAGACGGAAGGGACGGGGCUGGUGGUCACCGGGUGGGCGCCGCAGCUGGAGAUCCUAGCACACAGCGCAACGGCGGCGUUCAUGAGCCACUGUGGCUGGAACUCGACCAUGGAGAGCAUGAGCCACGGCAAGCCGAUUCUCGCCUGGCCCAUGCACUGCGACCAGCCGUGGGACGCGGAGCUUGUCUGCAACUACCUCAAGGCCGGCAUCCUCGUGCGCCCAUGGGAGAAGCACAGUGAGGUGGUCAAAGCGAAGGCCAUCCAGGAAGUCAUCGAGGAGGCCAUGCUCUCCGACAAAGGAAUGAGCAUCCGCCAACGGGCAAGGGUGCUCGGGGAUGCCGUCCGUGCCUCCGUGGCUGACGGCGGUUCAUCACGCAAGGACCUAGAUGUUUUCACUGCUUACAUCACCAGCGGCGACGACGGCAAGCGGCUACGGCGCCCGGCGGCGAGGGGCGGUGGCCAGCGGCGACGACGAGCGGCGGCGAGCCGACGGUGCUUCAAGUCUGGACACGGACGGAUCUAG